rnacentral:rRNA from 1 species
AUGUGUAAGAGCCACCACAGGGUCCAGCUUGUUAGGAACAGCGGUUUCGGAUAUCUGUUGGAGCUGGUUGACUGUCCUGUACCCAGGGGGUUUGUGCAGUGGAUCGCUGACAGUGUUGACACAAAAGCAGAAGCAAUUGUUUUCAACAAGAAGAGCAUUCCACUGAAUGCUCAGUCAGUGGAGUUUGUGUUGGGGAUUCCUUCAGGGGAAACAAUCAUAAACACUAAAGAAGAAGAGGCUGGCAAACAAGCUUUUCUUGCACUUUUUGGGUUGACAGAAGUCCCAACAAUCAAAUUCUUUGGCAAUAAGCUGAUGAACGAAGAAAUGUCUGACGACCAGAUCAUCCGUUGUUUCCUGGUUGUGGCAUUAUCAACAUUCCUCUGCCCGACAGCAAACACUAAACCAAGCACCAAAUAUAUGGGAGCUCUAGUUAAUGUGGAGCAACUCAAGCAAAUAAAUUGGUGCAGGUUUGUUCACGAUUGGAAGUUGAUGUAUAUAACGAAAUACCAAAAGGAAAAGCUGAAGCAGAACCGAACAAUGAUGACUCUAGGAGGAUGUAUAUACCACCUAGUCCGUUGCCUUGAUUUUACUGAUUUUGGCUCAAUUCAAAUCCCAUCUUUGAUGCCCAGGAUAUGUGUUUGGAAGGGAGAUAUGGUCAAGCAUUUAAGUGACAUGACCAUUGGAAGAGAUGGAAAGUAUGGAUGUCUGACAAUAAAAGAAGUAUCAGAAACCUGCUAUAAGGAUGGAACUUUUGAGUGGGCAAGUAUGAUUAAGAAUUCAAAUUUCAGGAAAGCGAUAAACAAUGUUGCAGGGAAUUCUUUGUCUGACAAGGUCAAAGAGGAUAUCUUCCUCGCUUACAAAAACCAUAUGAAGAAUGAAGACCUAAAUACUUGCAUCAAAGCUAAAGGGCUUCUGCUAGACACGAUCCGCAUCAUAACCAAUGCCUCUGGUGAAUCAGGUGAUACAGUUCAAGUGGGCUCAACAGGAACUGAAUUGAAUGCAAGCCAACAAUCCAACAACUCAGGAGACACUGUCAAACUACAAUCGACUGAACUUCAAGAGGAAAAUGAUGGAGGGCAUCUGGUGCAAAGGAAAAGAAGGAAAUGA